ensembl:lncRNA
CACCCGCCCCGCCCCCGUCCGAAGGGCCGGAAGAAAAGGAUGCGAACAGAGGUCGUCAGUGUGUUCCUUGACUCGGCUCACAAUGGCGGCAGUGUGAGCUGCGGCGCGAUGAUGGACGGACGGAAUUAAACAAACAAAAGGUCGACAGGAAGUGAAGUGAUUUAGUUGAUAGGAUUUUGGUGGUGGGGGGCGUGUGUGUGGGGGGGAGGGGAGUACGGUGGAUCGUGUCUCUUCUCAAUGGUCAGGAGGACAGGAAGUGGUGCUGAGGAGACGCUGGGGGACAGGAAGUGGUGCUGAGGAGAUGCUGGAGGACAGGAAGUGGUGCUGAGGAGACGCUGGGGGACAGGAAGUGGUGCUGAGGAGACGCUGGGGGACAGGAAGUGGUGCUGAGGAGACCGGAAGUGGUGCUGAGGAGAGGCUGGGGGACAGGAAGUGGUGCUGAGGAGACGCUGGGGGACAGGAAGUGGUGCUGAGGAGACGCUGGGGACGGCCCCCUCCCCCUCAGCCCAGUCUGGGGAGGCUGCCCGGUCCCUCUGAAUGCAGCCUGGGAGCAGCGCUGCCAGCUGGCCAUGACUUACUGAAUGACAUGAUAAAUUAAACCUGAGAUUCUUAUCGAGUUUAUUAAAACAGGGUUUCAGAUCCAGAUGAAACAUGAAGGUCAGAGGUCACAGUUAAUUGAUAAAGUCUGAUAUUCAAAAUAUUGUAUUUAUUUAGCUUCUGUGGAAUCUAGUUGAGCAUGGUUGAAAAAAGGGACAAAAUAUACAAUUUACAAUAUUUACAAUAAUACACAAUAAUUUACAAUAUAAAAUUUCGCGUUGUGUGUUGGUGAAUAUUGGGCUUUAUUUUUCUUUAUCUAUUCUUUUUAUAAUUAAGUGAACCAUAAGGAAAUAGGGUUAAGCUUAUUGACUUAAAUUAGAAUAAAUAAAAUAAUGUGCAUACUGUUGGGACCUUAGUAUUAUGAGGUGUAUAAGAACUAUUCUUACAUAUAAAACAACAUCGUUCUGGCUAUAAAGCCAGUGAGUCUCUCACAAAGACGCCCAAAAUGUCUCCUCCUCAUCCUGGAGGAGAAAAAUGGCCAAAUAAAAAAAGCUUUUAUUUCAGUCAAGCUUCACAGUAAAAGAGGUUUAAGUAAAUUGUUCUUCAUUUUAAGCUCAAAGAUCGAAGCAACGUGGUUUUGAAGUUGUGAUUAAAUCAGGUUUCGAAGCGAUUCGUUGUCGGUGGAACUCAGCGUCAGACAGGAAGUUCAGGGACGCCACACGAAACGCGUGACAUAGUUAAUCACAUCUUCAGCAUUUUUCAAUUCAGGGAAACACAAUCAGACGAAAGCUUCACACUGCGCCAGUGUGCGUCUGGCCCACUACCCUGCGGGUAGAGGUUUGUUCAUUUGACGGUACAAACCGCUCGCCUCUCCUCACGCGGCCUCGCGAUCAGACCCUCGGGCUCACGGGACGGAAGGCCGUCUGUCCCAGCGACAGCGCAACAGGCCUCCGCGGCUUCCAGAGAAGCCCGCCGCUCAGUGGGCGUGUGACUUAAGAUGGCCGCCUCGCUGCGAGGGUUUAAGAGAGGCCACCGACCCGCCCCCCCUCACCCCCCUCACCCCAUCUCGCUGUUGUCUGGUCCUAUAUGAUGAAAAUGAAAUACAAUGAGUCCUACAGGGCUCCAUUCUCGGGAAUUAGGAAUCAGGAACAUUUAUUACCAAAAUAUGUCGGACAUACAAGGAAUUUGGUUUGGCGGUUGGUGCGUGACGUCAGACCGUAAGUCAAUGGGCAACAAGACGGAUGAGCAACAUGGUGCAAGAGUCUUCUGUUCAGAAUCUUCGAAAUCUUAGAAUCUUGAUUAUUACAUCAUUGUUUUUUUCCUCCACCUUUACAUGACUUGGAAUAACUACUGAAACCUUAAUAAUAAAAAGAAAGGAGUAAAAUGUUGUGAUAUGAUGUUUUUAAGAAGUAUUUUCCAUGUGUCACAUGCUGGUUGUGCAAAACAAAUUACCUCUUCACAAUUUAAGCUCAUUAAGUUUUAUUUUCGUUGACAAUUCAAAAGCAUGCUAAUUAGCAGUCAUUUCUGGCCUCUGUGUAUAAAUUAGCACAUUUCUGUGUGUGGCCUUCAGAUGUUGGGUCUCUCCGUGUCAUUCUGUCACAUUGCCCAGAAAGAUUGCUUUGUUUCACCUAAUUUGGUGGAAUAAUCAUUAAUUAAAAUGGAAUGUGUGCCACCCGUGUCUGUCAACUGUGGAGAAAAUAAUAUUAAUAAUCUGCCACCUAAAUCUUCGUUCCACAAACCUCUGAUAGCUAAUUAGAAAGUGGACACAAUAUCUUAUUCUGAUGGCGCUUUAAAAACGUUUCAGCCAUCUUCUCCUUAACGAGGAAAAUGGCUUCUCGAACAGAGACGACUUUGUCAGUUCGGUACAAAGAGGGAAAUUAAUUAAGUAAUUAAGAAUUAAGAAAUAAAGACUUACAAAUAAGAGAGUCCACAAACAGGAGGGUACAAAAGGACCCUUCUGCAGGUCAUGGGUGGAAAAAAACUGAAUCAGACAAACUAAUCAGAGAACAAGAGACAGGUGAGCUGAAAGCUGAUUGGUGGAUGAAACAAAGGGAGUAGAGCAGAGAUUAUGAGGCUGAAUACACGCAGGUCUAUCCAUCCAUCUUCAAAGCCGCUUAUCCUUCAUCCAGGGUUGAGAGGGGCUGGAGUCAAUCCCAGCUAGCUGUGCGAGAGACGGGGUCCGGCCUGGACGGGUCGCCAGCCAAUCGCAGCGCUACACAGAGACGAACAACCAUUCACCCAAUCCGACACGCAGGUGAUGCACAGAGAACAGGGGGGAAGAAACACAAAGACAGGAGGUCAAACACAGGACACACAGGACGGUGAACUUCAAGAUAAAACGGGAAACAACCCAUGGAUUAGAACUGUGAGAACUCGCCCCCCGGUGGUCAUUAGAGAGAAUGCAGCUUUAACACACAGCUUUGACUUCACUUUUGAGAACCGGAUCUGGUUCAAACUAAAUAAUAAUAAUAAUGAGUCAUUUCCCUUUGGUCUGAAUGUAUUAACUGUUUAGUAUUUGCUUUUAGAAAAGUCUUAUUGGUUCUCUUAGCACACAGUCGUCUGAGACAACUAGUGGAUCCUAUGACGAGAGGAUUGAUGGGCGGGAAAAGAGCAACAGGAUAUGAAAGGGCUGAGAAUAGGAGAGAGGGUGAGAGAGGCUUUGGGGGGGAGAGUGUGGCAUUUAGAGGGGAGAGGGGGUUUGGGGAGUCAGGCUGCCGUCUGGCCUAAUGCACCCGUGCUGUGAUUGGCUGGGAGCGCCGGCCUGCAUACCUGAUACCGGGCUCUGCUCUAAUCGUCCUUUUCCUGUUGCCCGGGCUCGGACAACGCUCCUUUCUCCUUUUAUCUCGCCCGCUCAGCUCUCUGCUCAGAUCAGGUUGCUAAAAGAAAAACCGCCGCCCGCCACAAAAUCUCUGUUUCUUUGACUCCCCCCCCGUCCCUCCCCAUCACCCCACCCUCCUCUCCCUUGCAGCUCUCUUUUUCCUCCACCAGUCUUGACUGUCACUCUUUCCUCCACAGACACAAGAUCAUAGAACACAUGAGAGAAACAGGGGAGGCAGACGGAGAACAAAAAGAGUUUGAACAGUAUGGUUUUGUUUUGCUAAAUGUUUUUGAUUUUGUUCUCUCUCGUCUCAUUGGCAAAUGUUAGCUAAGCUGACAUGCUAAGCUAGUCAGCUAAAUGUCUGUCAAGAAUACUCGGCUAAAACUAGAGGCCGUCAUGUGAUGAGAUCAAACCAGCAAGGAAGCUGAAUUUAGACUGGUGCGUGAGUGUUUCGGGGGGGUAUUCUGUACCAAGCGUGGUUGACUGAAGGGCGGAUGGGUUUGCUUUGUUACCACAGCAACCCAUGAUGAUUGGUUGGUGAUUUCUGGACAUUAAAAAAAACUUCUGAUCACAAGCAAAUACCAAAAUGAAAAGGUCUGUUCUCAGAAACUCGUCGGAUUUGCUUGUCUUAGACUAAAAGCACUUGGUUGGAUUUGGGGAAAGGUUGUGUUCGGGGUCCAUUGAAACUAACAUCGUCUGUUUGAGCGAUAAUCUCCGGUAUCAUGCGGACUUUACUUAUUGUGUCAGGUUUAGAAAGCACGUGACUCGAAAACACACAAAUCAGUGUCUGUCAAAGAGUCACUGAACAGAACUCGUCCAGUCAUGAAUGAAAAGAACUACACAGAGGAGGUGUAACACUAUCAGAGUCGCAUGUGGGGCCCCACAGGGCUCAAUCAUGGGUUCACUGAUUAUCCCGGGUUCAAUGUUCCCCCGAGGUGCUACAAAAUACCACCUGAACACCCAACAACCGCAUUCUAUCUUCAGCCUGUUUUUCUGUUGAACCUCUGAUUUUGGUAUUCUGUCCCAUCCCAUCCUAUAUUGUCCCAUCCUGUCUCCCGUGCUGAAGCAGAGUGUCGCGGGGGCCAGGUGUUGCUGUAUGUGGAUUCUCAGUGUCACUGUGCACCGUGGGAGGACAAAGACAGUAUUGAGGAGGCCGGCGUGGAGCAGAGAGCAGCACAGGAUACUCUUACAGACUCGCCAGUGUUUGUGCCAAGUCCUCCCUUCAUACACACAACAGACACUGUGUUCAGUUUCUCCCCACUACCGGCUUUGUCCUGUCAGACUCUCGUUUUCUCCCUCCCACUCCCUCCUAUCCUUCUUUUUACUUUUUUUUUAUGUGUGUUCAGAGCAGGUUGGCUCGCAUUGGAGUCGGCAUCUGAGGGUGUAGUUGAGAGGCCCAGAUGGCAGAAGGUCUACGAACACUCGGGCAAGAGACUGUUCUCUCGACCUCUGGGACACAAAGUCCACGAACUUGAAAGAAGCUCAGUCGGGUUGCACUUCUAACAAAGGGCAACAAGUAAUGGUCGAGGAACUUGACUCACUUAUACUUAAGUCGCAUAUUUGUUGCCUUUUCUUUUUGGGAAAACAGGUUCCUGGACAUCCUUGAAAAGACCAGAUCCCGUUACGGAUCGCACUGCAGGGGGAAAGUAUCUCAUUUGUGCCGAUACCCAACGUGUCAAAGAAAGGAAACGAUGAUGCAGGUGAAGGAGGACAUCUGAAGAUAAGCUUUCAAAGUAUGAGGAAGCCUUCUGCUGUCAUGGUUACGGAUUCCUCAGGGGGCUCCGGCUCGCUGCCACGACAAACUUAACACAGCAUCUCAACCAUCACAGACAGGCAAUUAGUGUUUGCCUUUCAUGACCGUGCGCGCUCUCAAGAAGCUAAAAAAGCUGGAGACAGCGAUGGUAAUUGACUGAGUUUCGCAGAAUGGUCCAAUAACAACGUUCCUGUCUCGACACAGGGGUCGGAGUUGAAGGGGUGGGGGUGAAAUGUUUGACAAUAAUGUACUUGGUGGUACUUGGUGAUAAAGCAUCCUUUGUGAAAGGUCUCAUAAAGAACAUCUUUCCAAUGGACAGUUUGACCACGUUGUCUUUUCACAGGAAAACCUUCAGUUUUUUGCAUCCUAAUUCAACCAGAUUAAAAUACAUUUAUAAAUGUGUAUAUAUAUAUAUAUGUAUAUAUAGUCCCAGAAGGAAAAGGAAAUGUAGCACAAACUCCUAGAAUACGGGGCUUAAACAUCUGCCCGUGUGUCUCCAACGAGAGAAACUUGCACCUUUGGAGACGUUGGAUUGGUGGUCAGGUCUUGUCCCCACAACGACUGACCAUGUGUGCAAAGACAGUCUGAUCCAGGGUGGACAUCAGGACUUCCUCCAUGUCUCCAAAGAGUGUGAUCUGGCUUUUGUAUGUAAACAGAGAAAGAUGUCACCCACGUGAUAAUGAGAACCUCACCCCGAGGAACAGAAGAAGAAGGAAAAAUCGUGGUGUCAUCAGAAAGCAGAGGUGGUGCUCGCUCUGAUUCUGGGGGAGAAGCGUUUUAAUGAGCCCCUAUCAGGCUCUUUGGUUUCUUUCCACCUCGGCCUCGAAGCAAGGGGUGCCACGACACCCUGGUGUCCGAGUGGGGGGGGGGUACCGGAUAACUCUC